rnacentral:rRNA from 1 species
CCUACGGGCGGCAGCAGUGGGGAAUAUUGCGCAAUGGGCGAAAGCCUGACGCAGCGACGCCGCGUGAGGGAUGAAGGUCUUCGGAUCGGAAACCUCUGUCAGCAGGGAAGUACGGUCACUGUGCUAAUCAGCAGUGAAUUGACGGUACCUGCAAAGGAAGCACCGGCUAACUCCGUGCCAGCAGCCGCUGUAAUACGGAGGGUGCGAGCGUUAAUCGGAAUUACUGGGCGUAAAGCUCUCGUAGGCGGUAUGUCAAGUCAAGGGUGAAAUCCCCGCGCUCAACAUGUGAACUGCAUUUGAAACUGGCAGACUGGAGUGUGUGAGAGGGUAGUGGAAUUCCAGGUGUAGGAGUGAAAUGCGUAGAUAUCUGGAGGAACAUCAGUGGCGAAGGCGACUAUCUGGCACAUAACUGACGCUGAGGAGCGAAAGCGUGGGUAGCAAACAGGAUUAGAUACCCUGGUAGUC